rnacentral:rRNA from 1 species
AUGGGAGGCAGCAGUGGGGAAUAUUGCACAAUGGGGGAAACCCUGAUGCAGCGACGCCGCGUGAGUGAAGAAGUAUUUCGGUAUGUAAAGCUCUAUCAGCAGGAAAGAAAAUGACGGUACCUGACUAAGAAGCCCCGGCUAAAUACGUGCCAGCAGCCGCGGUAAUACGUAUGGUGCAAGCGUUAUCCGGAUUUACUGGGUGUAAAGGGAGCGUAGACGGCAUGGCAAGUCUGAAGUGAAAGCCUGGGGCUCAACCCCGGAACUGCUUUGGAAACUGUUAAGCCAGAGUGCAGGAGAGGUAAGUGGAAUUCCUAGUGUAGCGGUGAAAUGCGUAGAUAUUAGGAGGAACACCAGUGGCGAAGGCGGCUUACUGGACUGUAACUGACGUUGAGGCUCGAAAGCGUGGGGAGCAAACAGGAUUAGAUACCCUGGUA